rnacentral:lncRNA from 1 species
AAAUUCUUGGUGUCCCAAAAACAGCAUCACCUGAUGAUCUGAAGAAAGCUUACAGGAAGGCUGCUAUCAAGAAUCAUCCUGAUAAGGGUGGCGAUCCUGAAAAGGUUGCUUUUUGUUUGGUUUUAGUGUUUGAUUUGGUUGAUUCUAUUGUCUUUGUUGAUGAAUUGUGUGAAAGUGGAUCUUUUUGUUGUGUUUGGGGACAUUUGUUUGUGAUGUUAUCUGGGUGUGUGUUUUUGUUAUGUUAUGAAUUGGGGGCAUGAUGGAUGGGGGAUGUAAGGGGAGCUGAUUGAAGGUUAUGUGUUUAGUUCCAUUUUACGGCCUAGUGGGAAGUAGGGGGAAGUGACUUGUUAUGUAUCCAUGGACUGUUGGAUCGAUUGAAACACAAUUGUGAGUAACAAUUGGAAUUGAUACGGGUUAAUUUACUGAUUUAUCAAUAUUCUUAAUAACAUAAAAUUCACUUCCGUUAUUGAAUUAAAUGAUCAAGAUUAGGUAUGAUACAUUAGUAGUACACUACUUCAUCAUCUUGGACUUGCUCUAAGAGCAACUCCAAUGCAAUGCUAUACUUGGUUCUAUUGCUAUAUUAUAGCAUCAAAAGUAAAAAAAUUCAACUCCAAAGGGGUGCUAUAUUUGGAUGCAUCCAUGCAUAGAUGCAUCCUUGGUUCUAUAUUUGAAACCAAGGAUGGAUCCAUCCAUGUUGCCACAUCCUUGGUUCUAUAUUUUACUCAUAGAAGUUAGGUAAAAAGUUAAUGAGUUGCUUAAAUUUAUAACUAGUUAUAAAACUUAGCAUUGGAGUGCAAGUUUUAUUUUAGCAUCAAAAAACACUUUUUGGUGCUAUAUUAUAGCAAUAGCAAUAGAUAUAUAGCAUCUAGCAUUGGACUUGCUCUUAUGUGCUGUUACAUUGCGUACUAACAAAAAUCCCCUUUCCUAGUUAUGCAUACCCGAAAUUGAAACCCUAGGUGAUAGCUAAAAGCUAAAAAUAAAGUAGUUUGGGGAUAGAGAGAAUUAGAAAUGAUCUGUGGUUUGUAAGUAAGAGAAACUAUCUUGUUUUGGUUGUACUGGUGUUCCUUUUGAUUUUUAAUAUUUUAGUCAUGAUUUUACUUUCUCUUUGCAUAAAUUCUUUCUGUUUUCUUUUAUUGCCCAUCCUUUCGUGGAAUAGGCUUAAUUUAAGCUAUUGUAUUAUGCUAGUUUAAAGAGCUUGCGCAAGCAUAUGAGGUUCUGAGUGACCCAGAGAAGCGUGAAAUCUAUGAUCAGUAUGGAGAGGAUGCUCUCAAGGAGGGAAUGGGUGGUGGUGGAGGUGGUGGCCAUGACCCAUUUGACAUUUUCCAAUCCUUCUUUGGUGGCAGCCCGUUUGGUGGUAAGUUUGCGUGCAUUUAUCCUGAUUUUACAAUUUCUCUGCAAAUUUUAUAUUGUUCUCAGUCAUAGCAAUAUACCUGUUUCGUCAGGAGGUGGCAGCAGCAGAGGACGAAGGCAAAGAAGGGGGGAGGAUGUCAUUCAUCCCCUUAAGGUUUCACUGGAAGAUCUUUGCAAUGGGACUUCCAAGAAGCUUUCCCUUUCACGUAAUGUAAUUUGUUCUAAAUGCAAGGGGUGAGUAGUCAUCUACGUUCCUCACUGUUUAUGUUCUGUACUUUAUUGUACAUUUGUACCCUGGGUCAAAUCCUUACUCUUGUUAUGGCUGUGUGUGUGCAUAAAUGAAGAAAGGGGUCCAAGUCGGGUGCUUCAAUGACAUGUCCUGGCUGCCAGGGUUCUGGAAUGAAGGUUUCUAUCAGGCACUUGGGCCCAUCUAUGAUCCAGCAGAUGCAGCAUCCCUGCAAUGACUGCAAGGGUACUGGAGAAACAAUCAACGACAAGGAUCGCUGCCCUCAAUGCAAAGGUCAAAAGGUUGUGCAGGAGAAGAAAGCAAUAGAAGUUAUUGUGGAGAAGGGUAUGCAAAACGGACAGAAGAUUACAUUCCCUGGAGAAGCUGAUGAAGCGGUAAUUAGAAUACUCUCUCCACUAAGCUUAAGAUUUUGAAAGGCUUCUUUUACUAAUUUUAAAAUUCUAUUGUCUCUUUGUUGUUUGACUAACAAUAUUUUGAACUCAAUAUGCUAUAUUGCAGCCUGACACGGUUACUGGGGACAUAGUGUUUGUGUUGCAACAAAAGGAGCACCCCAAGUUUAAGAGGAAGGGUGAUG